rnacentral:rRNA from 1 species
GACGAACGCUGGCGGCGUGCCUAAUACAUGCAAGUUGAGCGCUGAAGGUUGGUACUUGUACCGACUGGAUGAGCAGCGAACGGGUGAGUAACGCGUGGGGAAUCUGCCUUUGAGCGGGGGACAACAUUUGGAAACGAAUGCUAAUACCGCAUAAAAACUUUAAACACAAGUUUUAAGUUUGAAAGAUGCAAUUGCCUCACUCAAAGAUGAUCCCGCGUGGUAUUAGCUAGUUGGUGAGGUAAAGGCUCACCAAGGCGAUGAUACAUAGCCGACCUGAGAGGGUGAUCGGCCACAUUGGGACUGAGACACGGCCCAAACUCCUACGGGAGGCAGCAGUAGGGAAUCUUCGGCAAUGGACGAAAGUCUGACCGAGCAACGCCGCGUGAGGGAAGAAGGUUUUCGGAUCGUAAAACUCUGUUGGUAGAGAAGAACGUUGGUGAGAGUGGAAAGCUCAUCAAGUGACGGUAACUACACAGAAAGGGACGGCUAACUACGUG